rnacentral:rRNA from 1 species
GCGCGAAAACUUUACAAUGCUGGCAACAGCGAUAAGGGAACCUCGAGUGCCAGGUUACAAAUCUGGCUGUCGAGAUGCCUAAAAAGCAUUUCAUAGCAAGGGCCGGGCAAGACCGGUGCCAGCCGCCGCGGUAACACCGGCGGCUCGAGUGGUAACCGUUAUUAUUGGGUCUAAAGGGUCUGUAGCCGGCCGGAUAAGUCUCUUGAGAAAUCUGGCAGCUUAACUGUCAGGCUUUCAGGAGAUACUGUCUGGCUCGAGGCCGGGAGAGGUGAGAGGUACUUCAGGGGUAGGGGUGAAAUCUUGUAAUCCUUGAAGGACCACGAGUGGCGAAGGCGUCUCACCAGAACGGACCUGACGGCAGGGGACGAAAGCUAGGGGCACGAACC